rnacentral:rRNA from 1 species
AGAGUUUGAUCCUGGCUCAGAUUGAACGCUGGCGGAAUGCUUUACACAUGCAAGUCGAACGGCAGCACGGGGCAACCUGGUGGCGAGUGGCGAACGGGUGAGUAAUACAUCGGAACGUGCCCAAUCGUGGGGGAUAACGUAGCGAAAGUUACGCUAAUACCGCAUACGAUCUACGGAUGAAAGCGGGGGAUCGCAAGACCUCGCGCGAAUGGAGCGGCCGAUGUCAGAUUAGGUAGUUGGUGGGGUAAAGGCUCACCAAGCCGACGAUCUGUAGCUGGUCUGAGAGGACGACCAGCCACACUGGGACUGAGACACGGCCCAGACUCCUACGGGAGGCAGCAGUGGGGAAUUUUGGACAAUGGGCGAAAGCCUGAUCCAGCCAUUCCGCGUGCAGGAUGAAGGCCCUCGGGUUGUAAACUGCUUUUGUACGGAACGAAACGGCUCUUUCUAAUACAGGGGGCUAAUGACGGUACCGUAAGAAUAAGCACCGGCUAACUACGUGCCAGCAGCCGCGGUAAUACGUAGGGUGCAAGCGUUAAUCGGAAUUACUGGGCGUAAAGCGUGCGCAGGCGGUUAUGUAAGACAGAUGUGAAAUCCCCGGGC